GCCCUGGUGGCACAGUGGUUCAGCGUUUGGCUGCUAACCAAAAGGUCGUGGUUCUAAUCCACCAACUGCU
rnacentral:tRNA from 1 species